CCCAUUGCAUUGCACAGCUGCUAGCAGAACGAGCUAGCGUUUACCUGAACCGAUUCUAUAGAGUCUCUCGACCCUUCCACCGUCUACAGUAGGUCGUGGCGGCGGAACGGCGAUUUGCGAUUCGGCGUCGAUCUCGCCAUCUUCCCUUCGUCUCCGACACUGCUUUUGCCUUCGGAGGGGAAGGGAGGGGACGGGGCACGGCUAGAUCCGCGACCAAUGGUCUUCGGUGUUGUCGACCUCGUCGGUGCGGGCUCCGGCGAUCUAAAGGGAGGUAUGUUUACCUCAACUUGAUGCAAUCCGGUCGGAGGUUGCUUGUGUACCGCGUCUUUUUGGGGUGUGGUUUCUGUUUACCCUUUACAGGUUCAUCGUCAUCCAUGGUGUUGGAUCUGCUACUGAAGCUCGAGGUGUCAGAUCCUGCAUUCCUGCUGCAAUUCAUGACGAUGCUACGGCUAGCAGCCGUGUUGCAAUGCCUGGGCGUUCAGCGAUUUUACUGCAUAUCGCUUUGUUCGCGCUACUCAUGGAGCCAUUUCGAAACUAUGAUCGUGCUUCGUCAAGCUGGGAUUCGGUUUUAAGCUUCAAGUUCUUUGUUCUUGUUAGCCUGUUGGUGUGGAGGGAUGACGAACGGCGGCUCCAACCGAAGGCAAUGAAGCUUAGCAGGAGAUCCAGAGAUUAUUUGUAACUAUGCAAUUAUGCUCGUGCGUUGCAACAGACAAAGUUGGUAUAAGCAUCGGAUAUGUAUUGAUGCCAAAAUGUUAAUUUGUAGGGA